rnacentral:lncRNA from 1 species
UGAUACCUAGCAGUAUAUAGUGGCAACCAAGUAGAAACGAAAAAAAUCUCAAUGUGUAGUUAACGUGUGAUUCAGUUCCUCUAUCAUAAGUCCCGACUAGAUAGCAGAUCAUGGAUAAAUCAUCAAACCUCAACAUCAGUCAUAUGAUAAAUUCGAUCAGCUCAAGUCCAAUUGUGAUUCUUAUGAAAACUCUUUUCCAUCAAUCAUAUUGCAGUG